ACACAGUGCAAAAGCAGUCCAUGAAUAUGAGAAAAUAGGCAGCAGAGGAAUCAAAAGGAGGGGAAACUUUUAGGAUUAAAAAAACCACCCAAACUGCAGUUCCACUUUGACGAAAACAGGCAAUCCAAUUUCAAACUUGGAGCCUCUGAAAUGUGGAAAACCCUCUCCAGGCUGACAAGGAUAUAGCUAGAUUAAAACGAAAUAGCCUGAAUAGCCCAUAAGGCAGAAACUGUCAACGACGGAUAUCGAUGACUAACAUCACGUUCCCCUGCCGCCUUCAAGGACUGCAUUUUACUUCCUGCAAGUUCUAACCCCUAAUAAAAAGUGUGCAAAUGAAAAGCAAA